AUUACUAGUUGAUUAAGAUUUUUGUUUUGCUAAUUUGCUUAAAUAAAAUAUCCUGUGUUCAAAAGUCUAAAUUGUUAACUUUUUUGUAAUAGUAAAAGAAACCUUGUGACGUAUCACAUCUUGUCAAUGGUUCUUACAUGCUGCUCUUAGCACUUAAAAUAGUCUGUUCUUUACUUGGCAGCUUAAGUAAUAAUCUAAUGGCUGUGGCUGACAAAUCAGACUUGAUCUGCAGAGUUUAAAUCCACAUGUGUCCAACAGCUCUGUGUCAUAAACCUGCUGAUCAAAUGUAUCCUGAGCUCUGGCUUCUCUUUUAGAGGACAGUCUGAUGUAUGCUGAGGUCAAACGCCCCAAAAAAGAAAAAGCCAAGAAGAAAGCAGGAAAAUCAAGUCCUGCAGCUGAUGCAGCAGUUUAUUCUGAAGUCACAUUAGGAAGCUUUCCUGGUCAGUGAGGAGAGCUGCAGCAGCAAAAAGAAGCAUUUUAUGAAUCCACUGUUGCUCCUCUGCUGCUCAAAUAUCAGACGUGCUCACUUUUUAGUGUUUAUGAAGAUGAUAUUGAAUAAUAAUAUGAUAUUGACUUGGUACUAUCUUUUAGCAUAAAGCACACAGAGGUGUGUCCUGUUUCAGAUCCAUGCUCUUUAUAUUCAGCUGAUAUUUUUUUAUUCAUUUUUAAGCUUUAAUAUACAAUUUUGAAUGUAUCCUGUUCCAAUAGCAAGUGAGAAAAAAGUUUUAAGUCUGUGUUUUUUAUUACCUCAAAGCAACAACUUAAAGUCAGCAGAGUCACAUUAGUGCUGGUAUGAACACCAACAAAUACUUUUACUGUCUGAGUUUAAAGAUCUGCAUCAUGCAAAAAUGAAUUAUUUGUUAUAAAAACAUGAAAAAGUUGAGCUUGAUUCAUUUGAUGUCAGAUGCUGUGAAUUUUAUUUUUUAUUUAAUUUUAUUUUAAUGUUGUUUGCUGUUCUCACUUUUUCUGGAUUUAACGUUUUACUUUUUUAAGGUUAUAUAUUGUAAAUGUAGAGCUCUGCGAUCAGCUCUGUCGUUUUAAACAUCAUAUAAAUAAACUUAACCUUGACUUCA